AGAGGUAGAUGCUCUGCCCUGAUGC
rnacentral:miRNA from 1 species